rnacentral:tRNA from 1 species
GGAAUUUGGUUCAAUGGUAGAAUACUUGCCUAGUAUGCAUGAGGGCCUGGGUUCAAUACUCAGCACCA